UAGUAUCGGCGAGUGAAGCGGCAAAAGCUCAAAUUUGAAAUCUGGCUCCUUCGGGGUCCGAGUUGUAAUUUGCAGAGGAUGCUUUGGGUGCGGCCCCCGUCUAAGUGCCCUGGAACGGGCCGUCAGAGAGGGUGAGAAUCCCGUCUUGGGCGGGGUGUCCGUGCCCGUGUAAAGCUCCUUCGACGAGUCGAGUUGUUUGGGAAUGCAGCUCUAAAUGGGUGGUAAAUUUCAUCUAAAGCUAAAUACUGGCCGGAGACCGAUAGCGCACAAGUAGAGUGAUCGAAAGAUGAAAAGCACUUUGAAAAGAGAGUUAAACAGCACGUGAAAUUGUUGAAAGGGAAGCGCUUGCGACCAGACUCGCCCGCGGGGUUCAGCCGGCAUUCGUGCCGGUGUACUUCCCCGUGGGCGGGCCAGCGUCGGUUUGGGCGGCCGGUCAAAGGCCUCCGGAAUGUAUCGCCCUUCGGGGUUGUCUUAUAGCCGGGGGUGCAAUGCGGCCAGCUCAGACCGAGGAACGCGCUUCGGCACGGACGCUGGCAUAAUGGUCGUAAACGACCCGUCUUGAAACACGGACCAAGGAGUCUAACAUCUACGCGAGUGUUUGGGUGUCAAACCCAUACGCGCAGUGAAAGCGAACGGAGGUGGGAGCCCCCUCGUGGGGCGCACCAUCGACCGAUCCUGAUGUCUUCGGAUGGAUUUGAGUAAGAGCGUAAAUGUGGGGAUCCGAAAGAUGGUGAACUAUGCCUGAAUAGGGUGAAGCCAGAGGAAACUCUGGUGGAGGCUCGCAGCGGUUCUGACGUGCAAAUCGAUCGUCAAAUUUGGGUAUAGGGGACGAAGACUAAUCGAAUCCAUCUGGUAGCUGGUUCUGCGAAGU
rnacentral:rRNA from 1 species